AGAAGACCCCAUGGAGCUUCNAACCCAACUACACCCCUAACUUCUAUAANCCCCACCCCACGGGACCCUGUAUAGUUGGUUUUAGGUUGGGGCAACCACGGAGCACAACAAAGCCUCCACAAUGAAUGGGACCACCCCCCUUAUCUAAGAGCCACACCCCUAGGAAUUAAAACAUUAAUAUAAAAUGAUCCAUUAUUUGAUCAAUGAACCAAGUUACCCUGGGGAUAACAGCGCAAUCCGUUUCAAGAGCCCCUAUCGAC
rnacentral:rRNA from 1 species